rnacentral:RNase_P_RNA from 1 species
AAUGCAAAUGGCUCUAUCGCUGUUCGUCCCGAUAGCUAUCGGGAUGGAGAGAGGAAAGUCCGGGCAACAUAGAGUAUCCUGCUUCUUAACGGGAAGGCGUUUUUUAUAGGACGACAGAAAGUGCUACAGAAAAUAAACUACCUCAAGCAAUUGAGGAAAAGGUGAAAACGUGAGGUAAGAGCUCACGACUUUGUAUGGUAACAUGCAUCGUGGUAAACCUCAGGAGUUGAAAGGUCAAAUAAGUUCAGGUUUUGAGGUUACUCGCUUCAAUUGAUUCGUCAAUAUCUGGAUGGGUAGACUGAUAGAUCAUAAUAGCAAUAUUAUGGCAAGAUAAAUGAUAGAGACAUCUUGAUUAAACUCAGGAUGACAGAACCCGGCUUACAAGUUUGCAUUAUAA